rnacentral:rRNA from 1 species
UACGUAGGGAGCAAGCGUUGUCCGGAAUUACUGGGCGUAAAGGGUGCGUAGGCGGCAAGGCAAGUCAGGUGUGAAAUCCCCGGGCUUAACUCGGGGGGUGCAUUUGAAACUGCUUUGCUUGAGUACAGGAGAGGAAAGCGGAAUUCCUAGUGUAGCGGUGAAAUGCGUAGAUAUUAGGAGGAACACCAGUGGCGAAGGCGGCUUUCUGGACUGUCACUGACGCUGAGGCACGAAAGCGUGGGGAGCAAACAGG